rnacentral:rRNA from 1 species
UACGGAGGAUCCAAGCGUUAUCCGGAUUUAUUGGGUUUAAAGGGUGCGUAGGCGGGUUAUUAAGUCAGUGGUGAAAGCCUGCAGCUUAACUGCAGAAUUACCAUUGAUACUGAUGAUCUUGAGUACAGUUGAGGUGGGCGGAAUGUGUCAUGUAGCGGUGAAAUGCUUAGAUAUGACACAGAACACCGAUUGCGAAGGCAGCUCGCUAAGCUGUAACUGACGCUGAGGCACGAAAGCGUGGGGAUCAAACAGG